GAAGCCUGCUAAAAAGCCUACAAAGAAGCCUCUAGUUCUUCCUGAUAAUAUUUUGAAGAGGGACUAUGUUUUUCGGAAGCCUAAAAACAAGGAUGAAGUCCAGUUUCAGGGUAAUAACAACGACAGCAGCAAGUUCUCUAAUUCAGAGAAGAAGAAACGUCAAGCACAAGCGAAUCGUGAGGGAAAGAAUUAAAAAAGUCCUCGAAUUGAGGGUCACAAUCCUAAUCAGAGGCAAUUUGCUGGCAACUUUGUGGGUGCAGUUAUGAAGGCUACACAUACUCUCAACGUUGAUGAUCCCUUACAGUUUCCUUCCGUUAGAAAGAAAUAGAGUUCAUACCCACAUCAAUCCCCAUUUUCUCCAACCAAAGCUUGUGUUUGUAGUUUAUAGUUUCCCAAAUGGCCACUUAUGGUAAAUC
rnacentral:misc_RNA from 1 species